GUUCGUGUUUUCUUCAAUAACACUAAUGGCAAUCAUGUGUACGUGCUCCAUUGCGCUGCACCAGUAGCAUUUUGAUAAACUUGGCCUGAAUUGUCAUGAACAGAACCAGAUACUUUAUUGCAAAGACGUCAGCGCCACACACCCCCAUCAAAUACUUCCAAGCUCAUCAUGUCUCCUCUCAGAUCUCAUUGGCUGCUCCAUUCUCGGUGCCUGAUUAAGCACAAGGUAUUGUUGUUCAUUCCUUAUUGGAUAGUCAUUGAUAGGGAUGCGUUGAGCUGAGCCCAAGUUAAUGUAAAGCUCAUGAUUUUCAAACCGAACUUUGUUGUCACCAUCUAAUCUUAUGAAUCUUACAAAGUAGUUAAGCAUUAUGUCGUUUCUUUUGCGUCUGCACAUCAGAUUUGUAAUAGACAAUGUAUUGUUGCCUCGAGUGUGUCAUAUAUGACACCAUCGCUUCUUUUGUGUCCGCACAUGCAGAUUUUUACUCCCUCCGUUCUGAAUUACUCGUCGCAGAAAUGGAUGUAUCUAGAUGUAUUUUAGUUCUAGAUACAUCCAUUUCUACGACAAGUAAUUUGGACCGGGGGGGUAAUAGACAAUGUAUUGUUGCUUCAAUGUCAUAUAUGACACCAUCGCUUGGCAGGGCGAUCCGGUACGAGGGAGCGCCAUGGGCGAACCCAGCCCUCGCGAAUAUCCAUGGAGGCGGCUGGCGGGAGACAUCGUCCUAGCGAGGUGGAUCUAGCAUCCCGUCGUCGAGGCGCCCCGCGGAGCACCCUGGCCCAUGUAAGAAGGCCACUAUGGAAGCGCCUCAUUUGGGCAAGCAACCAUGGUUCUGAUUGUUCAUAUUGAUUUUGAACUUGGAUAGCAGGGGCAUUUACUUUGUUGAGGAGGAAAAUUCAGAAGGUACUGAAUCCUCUUUUACAUGUUUGGUCACAAUAAAACUCCAUUCUGAAUUGACUUCUAAUUUCAAAUGCCCUGCAGGACGCAGCAGAAGAUGUCCUUCAAGAAUACCAAAAAGGUUGCAGCCGAGAGACAAAGAUGGGAACAUAGGAUGUCCAGAUGCUGUUGUAGAGGCUUCUCACUAUGUCCAUUUGUGUUGUGUUGUUCCUUGCCAGAAUUCUAUGCAUGUGCACCGCUACUAAUUCUGCUGGCUGAAUUUUAAUCAUGCCUGCCCCACCCAAUGUUUUCUAUGUUAAAAGUGGCAUGUGAACUUCUGUGAGCAUGCCGUUUAAUUGGUUGAGAAAAUUAUACUUUGCGUAAAACUAAGUUUGUUUCUGAAUUGUGACUCUAUUGUUGAGCUCCAUGAUCUAUGAUAAAGUAUUGCCGGAAGAUGGCUGUAAUCUUGGUAGAAAGAAUGGUAUCCUGCAUCUGUAGUGCAUCGGUGACAUGAGAAAUUUUGUACAUUUUGUAUGUAUUUACUGGUCCUAUGUUUUUUAUUUAGAUGUAAAUGUCUUCAGUACUGAUGUGACUUGAACUUGGAUAGCUAGUAAUGAAACAUUAUGAGUACAAGUAACUUGGAAUCUUGCAGUUAAUGAAGUAGUACAUCUCUAACUUAAAUGUCAGAGUUUGGCUAGUUACUGUUUCUG
rnacentral:lncRNA from 1 species